CCCAUGGCGUUACAUUACGUUGGGAGCGGCCAUAUUGGCUAGUGCGCCGCCAUUUUGGACCGUCCUGCCGACCAGUACGGAGAGGCGGAAAUUCAACCGGUGUCUCCAAGAUUUUUCAUCCUGGGCUGUUCCAUCUUUGCAGCUGCUCAGCUACAUCUUCAGUAGCGUUUCAGCACUCUCGCCUACAGUCUUCCGACCUGACCCGGGAGGGUUAAGAAGAAAUAAAGGGAGAAUUUUCGUCAAUAUCUGUUACACCAAGCUGCUCGCAAAGAAUGGAACUGUCAGCUGUCUCCUGCCAAAUCAAUAACAAAAAUCUGGUUGAGAGAAUUCUUCUUCAUGGAGGACAACUCAAAGGUCAAGCAGCCCAUUAAUUCUAUUGGAUAAUCCAAGCUUUAUUCCUGGGUAAAGUCAGACUAUUAGAAGGCUCUAUUGUCAAGGCACAUUGCUUUAGAAGAAUUUUGUCCAAUUCAAUUCUGCUCUGGAAUGCCUAGUCCGAGGAGCACGAUUAAGAAAAAGCCAAAGGAAACAUCUUGGGCCUUUAUUACAAAACUGAUAACGAGAAUUCUGUCUAUCACAAAACGUCUCUGAAGAGCUAGCAAAAGAAAUUUCUUAAGAUUGAAGAGAGGACUUCGCUGGUGGUGCAGUGGUUAAGAAUCCGUCUGUCAAUGCAGGGGACACAGGUUUGAUCCCUGGUCCGGGAAGAUCCCACAUGCCAUGGAGCAAAUAAGCCUGUGCAUCACAACUACUGAGCCUGCGCUCUAUAGCACGUGAGCCACAACUACUGAGCUCACAUGCCACAACUACUGAAACCCACAUACCUAGAGCCCGUGCUCUGCAACAAGAGAGGCCACCACAAUGAGAAGCCCACGCACCACAAUGAAGAGUAGACCCCGCUCGCUGCAACUGGAGAAAGCCUGUGCGUAGCAACAAAGACCCAACGCAGCCAAAAAUAAAUAAAUAUAUAUAUUAAAAAAAAAAAAGAUUGAAGAGUGGUGAAAUGUGUACCUCCCCUAAAGAACUGGUGUGCCUUCUCCUCACAGACAAUGCAAAUCAUGUAACGUUUCCUAUUUUUCUUGUUAUAAUGGCUGCCAAAAAAAGUAGACUCAAGUUCAAAACUAAGGCAACCCGAGGGUCUUACACAGUCACCUACCUAUGCUCCAACAUUAAGGACUUUGUACGAACCUAGAGCCCUCAUAUCUUGCUUCUGAACUUGCCUUGAUUUUAAGAUUACAGGCUAAAUUUAUUUUCCAACAGAUCCUGAUUUUUAUCAACAUAUACUGUUCCUCAUUUCACCAGACUUUUUUAGAAGCAUCCACAAGUCCACCGGGAAACAAAGGAUAAAAAUCAAUAAAACAAACCUCACCUGGACAUUGAUCAUCUUCUCCAGUUCUUAAGAAAGGGUGUGUCGGGAAUUCCCUGGCAGUCCAGGGGUUAGGACUCUUGCGCUUUCACUGCCGAGGGUGUGAGUUCAAUCCCUUGUCGGGGAACUAAGAUCCCACAAGCCGAGCGGCUCGGCCAAAAAAAAAAAAAAAAAAGGCAUGUAACUCUAGGGUGUGUUCUGGUGUUCUGUCUUCUGUCUCUGUGGGCCUGCCUGGAAGUUGUGGUCAGAGAUCUCAGGUCAGGCUGCUGCCAGAAAUGAUGAUCUCCCAAGCCUGGAACCUUCUUCUUCUUCUAUUAGUGAAAUAUUCCUUCUUCUUCUUCUAUUACUAGAACCUGUGAACUCAAGAGCAAAUUCAAUGAUUGAGCCUGGGACCACAGCUCUCUCUCCCUUGCUAUGUGGACUCACACUAAGAGAAGGCCCCAAUAUUUCAUGUCUCUUUAACCUUCUGAAAGCUUUUACAUCAUGGGGCUGUGCCUCACAGGAAGAUAUGGAAUGGGCGAGAGGAAUGCCUUUUAUUUUUGUAAAGUUGGAAGAGAGUGAAUGUGGAAGAGGAGAUGGGAAACAAAAACCAGCUCAUGGUCUUGUCACAUAGGUCCAUUUCAGAAAAGAUAAAGUACAAAAAUGGUGGCUCUAUAAACAACAAGGUCCUACUGUAUAGCACAGGGAAAUAUAUUCAAUAUCCUAUGAUAAACCAUACUGGAAAAGAAUACAAAAAAAAGGAAUGUAUAUAUAUGUAUGGCUGGAUCACUUUGCUGUACAGCUGAAAUUAACACAAUAUUGUAAAACAACUAUACUUCAAAAAAAAAUUUUAAAAAAAGGUGGCUCUGGAAACUGACUUAAAACCACCUGAGCCCACAUACAUCUAAAUUUUCUGUUUACUGUACUGAGGCAAUUAUCCCAGUUUAAAGAUCAAUGUACUUAACAGAUCACAAGCCAUAUCUUAUGUAAUCCUCAACACUGUUCUGUAAGGUCUUCAUUAUUAUCUCCAAUUUUAAACACCAGUAAGUUGAAGCUUGGUCGGGUGAAGCGUGUUGCCCAAGUUAACACCCUUCCUCAGGAGCAAUGUGGGAAUCUGCAUUCAUAUCUGUGCCUCUCCAUUAUGACACUUCCCUCUUCCAACAGCCUCACAAUACAAACUUGUUCUCUUUCUCAGGCACUUUAAGAACUAAACUUCCCUGGUGUAUCAUACUGUGAGGGGGCCAUACAGUCACAGUUGCAAAAACAGGACCUUUGGAAUCAGCUCUUGUCAUAUUCCCUGUGCACAUCCAGACAGCUCCCUCCACACAAGGAAUGCAAAGGAAGCCCCAUCCGUGCCUCUGGUUCAAUCCUUGGUUGGGGAACUAAGUCCCACAUGCAGGAAAAAAAAAAAAAAGAAAGAAAACAAAAGAAA